rnacentral:rRNA from 1 species
GUUGGCUUAGAAGCAGCCAUCCUUUAAAGAAAGCGUAACAGCUCACUGGUCUAGCGAUUCUGCGCCGAAAAUAUAACGGGGCUAAAAUAGACACCGAAGUCGUAGAUUUGUACUGAUGUACAAGUGGUAGGAGAGCGUUCGUAUCAGCGUUGAAGGUAUACCGGUAAGGAGUGCUGGAGCGAUACGAAGUGAGCAUGCAGGCAUGAGUAGCGAUAAAAGAGGUGAGAAUCCUCUUCGCCGCAAACCCAAGGUUUCCUACACUAUGCUCGUCAUUGUAGGGUUAGUCGGGUCCUAAGCUGAGUCCGAAAGGGGUAAGCGAUGGCAAAUUGGUUAAUAUUCCAAUACUAACAAAUAAGCGCGAUGGGGGGACGCAUAGGGUUAAACGAGCUCACUGAUGGAAUAGUGGGUCGAAGGGCGUAGAUUGGCCGGAUAGGAAAAUCCGCUGGCUGUAUUCGAGACCUGACAGGCUCUUAGAACUCUUCGGAGGGACAAGAGAAUCGUUGAUACCGUCGUGCCAAGAAAAGCCUCUAAGUAUAUUAUUUGUUACCCGUACCGUAAACCGACACAGGUGGGUGAGAUGAGUAUUCUAAGGCGCGUGGAAGAACUCUGGUUAAGGAACUCUGCAAACUAGCACCGUAACUUCGGAAUAAGGUGUGCCUAACUUGGUAUAUGAACUUGCUUCAAAAAGCUAAGAAGGUUGCAACAAAGAGUCCCUCCCGACUGUUUAUCAAAAACACAGCACUAUGCUAACUCGUAAGAGGAUGUAUAUGGUGUGACGCCUGCCCGGUGCUUGAAGGUUAAUUGAUGGGGUUAGCGCAAGCGAAGCUCUUGAUCGAAGCCCAAGUAAACGGCGGCCGUAACUAUAACGGUCCUAAGGUAGCGAAAUUCCUUGUCGGUUAAAUACCGACCUGCAUGAAUGGCGUAACGAGAUGGGAGCUGUCUCGACCAGAGAUCCAGUGAAAUUGUAGUGGAGGUGAAAAUUCCUCCUACCCGCGGCAAGACGGAAAGACCCCGUGCACCUUUACUAUAGCUUGACACUGCAGUUGGGAUACAUUUGUGCAGGAUAGGUGGGAGGCUUUGAUGUGAUGACGCCAGUUGUCACGGAGCCAUCCUUGAGAUACCACCCUGAUGUAUUCUGAUUGCUAACUUGCCACAGUUAUCCUGUGGGAGGACAAUGUCUGGUGGGUAGUUUGACUGGGGCGGUCGCCUCCUAAAAAGUAACGGAGGCUUACAAAGGUUGGCUCAGAACGGUUGGAAAUCGUUCGUAGAGUAUAAUGGUACAAGCCAGCUUAACUGCGAGACAUACAAGUCGAGCAGAGACGAAAGUCGGUCAUAGUGAUCCGGUGGUUCUGCGUGGAAGGACCAUCGCUCAAAGGAUAAAAGGUACGCCGGGGAUAACAGGCUGAUCUCCCCCAA